rnacentral:rRNA from 1 species
UACGUAGGGGGCAAGCGUUGUCCGGAUUUACUGGGCGUAAAGAGCGUGUAGGCGGCCAAACAGGUCCGUUGUGAAAACUGGAGGCUCAACCUUCAGAGGUCGACCGAAACCAUCUGGCUAGAGUCCGGGAGAGGAGAGUGGAAUUCCUGGUGUAGCGGUGAAAUGCGCAGAUAUCAGGAAGAACACCGGUGGCGAAGGCGGGUCUCUGGGCCGAUACUGACGCUGAGGAGCGAAAGCGUGGGGAGCGAACAGG